AUGUGUUUCUAUUUUCUUGCAGUAGUUGUCGGUCAAAAAACGAAAAAUAUACGAUGCUCGGAGUACGAAAAUCUGGCAACGCUGCAGUGUGAGGGCGGGGCGGCGGGCAGCGGGCGAGUGGAAGCAACAGGGUGAGGGUGGUUGGUGUGCGUCUCCGGUGCUGCUGCUGUCGGUGAUUGUGGCUGUGAAGUGUUACAUAAGCGUACAGAAAGUCUCCACUGUCUUGAUGCCGGAGCAGAGGGCGGGGCUUCGGUCGUCUCGUCAUUCCGUCCGCCUCUCCCAGCACCAGGAAACGCAAGGAGGACUACUCAAGCCUUACCUGGCGCUUCAGGACCGUCGCCGCCGCUGCUCCUCGGUGGUGCCUGUCGCCGAGAUGGCCAGAAAACUUUUCCCAGUCUACUGUUGUUCAGCAUCAAGAUAAAUUAGGACCAUUCAUCGCCCGCCCUGACAGGACUUGACCCCAACACUCACGGUGGGUGCUGCCCAGUCCUAAUUUUUCACGGCGCUGUGUAACAGUAGGCCGAGACACUCAUCAACUCGAGGAGGAGUCUCGACCGGUUUAUACAGAUAAGGAAGCGGCCUACGCAGACCCCCUCGCGGCUGGUCGCCUCUUCCCGACCUGUGGAGUAAAUGAAAAACUUCGGGCGCAGGGUGGCGUGAGGCGGCUGUCGACGAGGCUAGGACUCCUUAAGUUGAAGGAGUCACUGGACUGUCU